AUUCCGAUAACGAACGAGACUCUAGCCUAUUAAAUAGUUCGACGAUUUUCGAUAUGUCGUCGCAACUUCUUAGAGGGACGAGUGGCUUUUAGCCACACGAGAUUGAGCAAUAACAGGUCUGUGAUGCCCUUAGAUGUCCGGGGCCGCACGCGCGCUACACUGAAGGAAUCAGCGUGGAUACCCCCCUGGUCCGAAAGGAUUGGGAAACCCGUUGAAUCUCCUUCGUGCUAGGGAUUGGGGCUUGUAAUUCUUCCCCAUGAACGAGGAAUUCCCAGUAAGCGCGAGUCAUAAGCUCGCGUUGAUUACGUCCCUGCCCUUUGUACACACCGCCCGUCGCUACUAUCGAUUGAGCGGUUCAGUGAGCACCUCGGAUUGGUCUCGGUCUGACGUGCAAGCGUCGGACUGUUGGCCGAGAAGACGUUCAAACUCGAUCGCUUGGAGAAAGUAAAAGUCGUAACAAGGUUUCCGUAGGU
rnacentral:rRNA from 1 species